rnacentral:rRNA from 1 species
UACGAAGGGGGCUAGCGUUGUUCGGAAUUACUGGGCGUAAAGGGCGCGUAGGCGGUGUGUCAAGUCAGGCGUGAAAGCCCCGGGCUCAACCUGGGAACCGCGCUUGAGACUGGCACGCUAGAGUCCGGAAGAGGUUGGUGGAACAGCUAGUGUAGAGGUGAAAUUCGUAGAUAUUAGCUAGAACACCAGUGGCGAAGGCGGCCAACUGGUCCGGUACUGACGCUGAGGUGCGAAAGCGUGGGGAGCAAACAGG